AUGUUUUUAAGCAGACUAAAAACUCAUUCUGCUGCCUUGUUGCUGUUCAUUUUCAUUUUGUUUUUAUUUUUUCUAAAGCAGUUAACCAGCUGCACCCUCACUGAGCCUAGAAGAUACAGUCUCAUAUAUGAAAACACUUGUAACAUGACUGGAGGAUGGUUAAAAACAUAUUCAAAUGGAGGUUGGAAUCCUAAAGAAAAAUCUAUCUCACUAUAUAUUAUGCUUCAAGUAGUUGGCAGAAGAAAACACAGGAAAACAAAUAUGAUCUGGCCAAAGCUAUCCCUGCCUAGACAUAGGUGUGUCUGAGCCAAGCAAGCAUGUGGUCUCAUAAAAGGUUUCCGAAUGGAAGUGCUGUGAAUCGCAUCAUACAUAAGCGAGUCAGCUAAUUCCCCACGGCUCAAGACAUCCUCUCAUUGAUUUAUGAUGAUUCUGCAGCAUAGCCCACUAAAUUGCUGAGGAUGUGCAGUGAACUCGGAGAGCUUAAAGAAAUCUGCCUCAUGGACAAACCUUAUUUUUUUUAUAUAAAAAUGUUUUCCAUGCUCAAGAUUCUACCUUUUUUUCCUGCCUGAUUUUAAAAUAUGUACCUGAGUUUCAAGUACAGUUUGAAUCAUUCAUUAUGCACUUUUCUUUUUA
rnacentral:lncRNA from 1 species